CAAAGGAGCAAUCCGCUGAAAGAUGGGCUCGCGUCCGAUUAGGUAGUUGGCGGGGUAACGGCCCACCAAGCCGACGAUCGGUAGCCGGACUGAGAGGUUGAACGGCCACAUUGGGACUGAGACACGGCCCAGACUCCUACGGGAGGCAGCAGUGAGGGAUAUUGGUCAAUGGGGGAAACCCUGAACCAGCAACGCCGCGUGAGGGAAGACGGUUUUCGGAUUGUAAACCUCUGUCCUCUGUGAAGAUAAUGACGGUAGCAGAGGAGGAAGCUCCGGCUAACUACGUGCCAGCAGCCGCGGUAAUACGUAGGGAGCAAGCGUUGUCCGGAUUUACUGGGUGUAAAGGGUGCGUAGGCGGGCUUGCAAGUCAGAAGUGAAAUCUAUGGGCUUAACCCAUAAACUGCUUUUGAAACUGUAAGUCUUGAGUGAAGUAGAGGUAGGCGGAAUUCCCGGUGUAGCGGUGAAAUGCGUAGAGAUCGGGAGGAACACCAGUGGCGAAGGCGGCCUACUGGGCUUUAACUGACGCUGAGGCACGAAAGCGUGGGUAGCAAACAGGAUUAGAUACCCUGGUAGUCCACG
rnacentral:rRNA from 1 species